CACCAAACUCACCCAUCUCUUUCCCCCGCCAAGAGCAGCAACGAGCUGUGUGUUCUUGCUAGCUCUGAAGCUCAAGCGCGAGCUUGCUAGAAGAAGCAUCUCUCCCCAGUCUGCCAUAUAGCAGUACCAUGGCGGCAUCGGUGGCCUGCGCCUUCUUCUUCGACGCCGAGCCGGUGGGCGAGCCCGGCAUGCCGGCGCUGGACGCGUGCGCGCUCUGCGCCAAGCCGCUGGCGCGUGACAGCGACGUCUUCAUGUACAGAGGGGACACGCCCUUCUGCAGCGAGGAGUGCCGCCACGAGCAGAUGCACCUCGACGCCGUCUCCGCCAGGCAGGCCGCCCGGAGGGUGCAGCGGUUCUCCGCGGAGGCGGAGUGCCACCGUGGGCAGCGGCAGUCCAGGAAGGUGUCCAUCGCCAGCUAGCCGCGGAAAGUCUUUGUUUGGAUCGACAAGAUCUGAAUGAAUUCUGAAGAAAACGACCUCUGUAUUCUGAAGAACCAUCGAUGUCUCUUGGGAGGCGUCUGAUGUUUCCGUCUCUCCGGGUACCAGAUGCAGCCUGGCGCCGCCUACGAGAGGCAAGGCAGCCAGGCAGGGCAGCAUCAGGCGGCACCAAGCAUCAUAGGAGACUGUAGCUUUCCCCCAUGUGUCCAUGGCAAGCUAAUUAAGCUGCCCGGAUAGGAGGAAAUUCUACUUGUUCUUGAUCGAUCUGUGCUGUGCCGAUGAAGUGUUAUUUGAUUAGAAAUGAAAACAGAAAAGUAAACACCAUGGAUCUGAAGAGAGCAAUCAGACUUGAUUCCCAAUUUGUUUAUCUUCAAUUUGGGUCGCAUGUCUGCCCACUCUCUUAUUUCUUACCCCUAAAUGAUUGGAUCCUGUUUGGUUUUGUCCUUUUGCGUGCACACUGUGCUAUAGAGCACUGUCACUGUAAACACUUCAUGGCAAUCGGUAAGGACUAACUCCAACCGGCAAACCUAAACGUAUACUCCCUCCGGUCCUAAAAAUUUGACUUUUUACUGUUUUCAAAUGGACUACCAUGUACGGAUAUAUAUAGACAUAUUUUAAAGUGCAGAUUUACUCAUUUUGCUACGUAAGUUGUCAAUUAUUAAAAUAUCUAGAAAGACAAAUACUUCCUCCUACCCAAAUUUUUGUUUCUUAUAUUUGUCUAAAUACAAAUGUAUCUAAUUAAGUUUUAGUUUUAUAUAUAUUCGUAUCUAGACAAAUCUAAGAUAAGAAUUUUGGAACGGAUGUAGUAUUUAGGAACGGAGGGAGUACAUGAUUUGUCAGUUUUCACCCUUUGGAUUUGAGUAUCGCGACGGUGGCGGAGCAGAUGAGGCGAUGGAGAGCGGUCGGCGCACGGGGAUGCCAACGAGGGCAACGACGAUGGACGACGACGACGUGCAAAGGUGUUGGAGAGGAUGGUGCGUGAUGGUCGCAACGGCGGAGAGGCCAAGGAACACCUUGGCGAUGGCCGCGAGAGCGGUGUAGCCGGCGGUUGGGGCGCGAGGAGAAAGGGGAAGAAUUAAAAUUGAGAAACCGCCAAAUGGACUAUGCGUGUUGUUGAAGUGGCGGGUGCUGCCCGCUGCAAUGUUUAGCUGUGGCAGGCGACAUUGAGGGUCCGCCACUUUUGUUUCCACAUUUUUGGUUCAAAAUAACAUCCAAACAAGGACGAAGUAGGUUCAAUCUUUUACUAGCUUUUAAGUACACACCAUUGCAAGUUUCAUGCUUAAAUUCGCCACUUUUUGAGUUGAUUUGCUUAAAUUCGGUUCAACAUAACGUGCAACGGGCUCCAAAAUACAUUAAACUUAACGUGGUGUCUUCAUUUCGUGUACAAACUAAACUGUCUUCUGCGAAGUAUGGUGUGUUAAAAUUUUGAGACUGUUAUGUCAAAAACUUGAUUCAUUUCGUGUACAAACUAAACUGUCUUCUGCGAAGUAUGAGAGUUUCGAACGAAAACCACCUACUACCACACACAACAUAAUUUUCUACAUCAUUUACACUUCAAGCUUUUUUUGUCUCUAACACACCCCAUUACAAGUCCCAUGCACAAAUUUGACCACAUUUUAGUUGGUCUGUCAUUUUCAAAGAAUUGACUGAUUAUUUCGGUCAUCAAAAAGGGCAAGACGCUCUUUGGUUCAACAUAGAGUGCAAACAAGCUCCGAAAUGAAUGAAACUUGGCAUGAUAUCUAUAUAGGACCCUUGUAGGGUAUUUAUAAAAAACUGAGAGUGUUACAUCACAAAAUUCAUGCACUUCAUGUACAAACUGGAUACUCUCUAGUGAAGUGUCAAGGUUUCGAAAGGAAACAACUUACCGCCACACACAACUGAAUUUUUCCACAUCAUUUCCACUUCAAACUUUUUAUAUGGUAGUGAACACCAUUCCAAGUAUCACGCUUAAAUUUGGUCACAUUUUUAGUUGGGUUGCUAUUUUCGAAGCAAGGAUGGAUAUUCUGGCCAAUCAAAAGGGCAAAAUGCCCUUUAGUUCAACAUAGCGUGCAAAAGAGGAUAAACUUGGCAUGGUAUCUUCAAAGGACCCCUGUAGGGUGUGCUGAAAAAUUUGAAAGCGUCACGACAAAACUUGAUGCACUUCGUGAACUUCCUGUAUGUGUGGCGGGCGGUGGACACUGUCAACUUCUAACUUUUGAAAAGUUAGGAAAUAUGUGUGCAGGUUAGUGAAACUUUGCUGUGGCGGCUAAUCUUUUUACCCGUCACCGGUGCAUGACAAAUCAGUGGCGGUCACUGAUUUUUCAUCUGCCGCUGCUGCUUUUAUCCCACGGCUAAAUUUGUUAAAAUUUACGAGCGGUACCCGCCACUGCUAUCCACAGGGCGGUGGCCGACACCCGUUCUUACGCUUCACUGCUACUUUUCUAGAAUUGCAGUGGUGGGUAUCUGUACACCCACCACUAAAUUGAGCCCAUCAAUAAGCCUUUUCUCAGUAGUGUACCUUGUCACAUCCAGCCCAAAGAUAUGCACAACGAAGCUUGUCAAUAUAUUCCAGGACCUCCACCGGAAGCUCAAGCAGUGUCCUAUGGUAGAUGGAGAUUGCAGUGAGGACCGCUUUGGCCAGAACGCCACAACCAGCAAUAGAGACAUGCUUGCUGAACCACAGAGUGAACCUGCCAAUAGCUUUGUCUUUGAGGUGCUACAAAUAGACCGCUUUUAAGGCGGGUGACCGAAAGAGGCAAACCAAUGUAUUUCUUCAAGAAAGUAACUCUACAUGUAGGAAAGACGUGAAGGAUCUCAUCAAGGUCCACUCCGCCACACCGGAUUGGCACGACACUGCUUUUUUGACAAUUGGUAAUCGAAUCGAUGACCUCGCCAAAGGAUUGCAUGGUGGAAGCCAGAAACUGAUUGUCAUUAUUGAUUGGGAGUACAAAAAUCGUCACAUCAUCCACAUAAAAAGGAGGCACGGGUAGCAGGGGUUCUACCACCAAUCAGGCGCAACUUUCUUGCGUUGUGGCCUUGAGGAGGAUGUGAUGGAGCGUGUUAGUGGUGAGAACAAAAGGCAGCGGGAAGAGAGCGUCUCCUUGCUGCUUCUGAAGUCAUUACGGAAAAGAACAAUUCUUACAAAUUCUGCAGGCAGGCGUAGGACCAUUCUAGUAAACCAGCCACCGUCCGUGAGUAACGUAUAGUAUGUAGUAACAUCACACAUUUCUAGAUAAAAUAAAUGAUGUGGCAAGUAAUGAAUGAAGAAAGAGAGGAAAGCAGUAACAUAACUAGUUACUAAUAGUAUAAGUAACAUCACAUAUAUCAAGGCAAGAUGAGUCUAUAGUGUAAUAAAUGAAGUAUUGCAUGUUAUCACACAUAUGUUACUCCCCAUUGUAAAGAUAAUAGAAUAGACUAAUAACGUACGCAUGUUACUACUCUAUGUUACUAUCCAUUAUGGCUAAGUCUGAAGCAAGAUUACUUGCAGACUCCAAGGUUACCUGCAAAUGCUUCACUGCUAAACAAAGUAUCUCCAGAUCUCGACAAAGCUGCUCCCUCGAGCGAAGCCUGCCCGCCUGAUGCCAUUUUCCCCUAGUAUAUUCGCACACUCCUACCACCAGUGGAAUCUUGAGGCGCGUGCGACUGUAAUUGCAGCCUGCAAGGUGCAUCCCCCUUGGACCGAAGCGUGCACGGCAGCCCCGAUUGUGAGACCAUCUGGCAGCCUCCCGGUCCCGGUUAAACAACGCGCAUCCCGUGAGCGGAGCCGCACCCCUCUCCCCAAAGUUUUGAGCGUGCCAAAUCUCCAGCGGCCGGAUGCAUGGCUUGUACUAUUGCAUGUGGGCGCUGCUGCGUGACAGGCUGAUGAUGAUUCGUUUGAUUGCGCAGACAAGACGUGUACGCGUGCCAAGCUCCCGCUGUCUCGGCUGGUGGUACCAGGGUGCGGCCUGGCGCCGUGGCGCGCAUGCACGGCACGUCCCUCCUGUGUACGGAGCACCGACCGGUGAAAAAGUGCACCCACAUAUUUUCUGGUUUUCUUCUGUGCUUAUUUUUCUUCUUCUGAAAAAGGACACGAAUGAUAGUACACCGCCAAGCUUGUUUUGUGACAUCUCUCGUCAUUAUAGCAUCCUGACCAUGUGCGCCUCCAUUAUGCAGUGCUGGAACCCUAGUUACCAGCACUAAGACGUUUGCAUUGGUUUAAUCCAAAGGUGGAUUUUAUUUUUUAAGAAAUCCAUAGGCAGAUUUGAUGCCCUCGUUCCCGACAAGUGGCACAGCGGAUGCUUGUGCGUAAAUUAUUGACGCCCAUACUUACCCCUGCUCCUUCUUUUGCUACUCCCUUAGUUCCAAAAUAAUAAGUCUUUUCGGAGGCUUCGUGCAAACUACUCCAUACAAAACAAAAUGAGUGAAUCCAUACUUUAAAAUAUGUGUACAUUCAUAUGUAGUCUUUCACAGCAUUUCCAGUCCUGAUCAAUCGUCUGGUUUUCUAUACGUGGACAUGGACAUUUUAUAGAGACUCAUAUGUCCUCUUCGUUUUAUAAAUAAAGAACACACCCACGUCCCUCAUAACUCCUCCCGUUGUCGUUCUCGUCGCGGUGGAGCCGACUGCGUGGCCCACCUUAGCCAUCGAGCCAACCACCGCAGUACACCCAAGCAUGCUGGAAUGAACUACUCCCAUCGUCCAUGGUUAGACAGACCCAGACCGCGCACCGGACCAUGGUUUCCCAGGCCGCCAGCUCCAGUGCACCAAUAAUGGCCUCCCCUUCCUCCAUUUCCCCCAUAUAUACCCACCCUCCCGCAUCGCACCGCUGCACCAAACUCACCCACUUUCCUUCCUCCCGCCAAGAGCAGCAGCGAACGCAACCUGUGAGCUCUAGCUCUGAAGCUCAAGCUCGAGCUUGCUAGCAGAGCCACGUAGCAAUACCAUGGCGGCAUCGGUGGCCUGCGCCUUCUUCUUCGACGCCGAGCCGGCCGGCGAGCCCGGCAAGCACGCGCUGGACGCGUGCGCGCUCUGCGCCAAGCGGCUGGCGCGCGACAGCGACGUCUUCAUGUACCGAGGGGACACGCCCUUCUGCAGCGAGGAGUGCCGCCACGAGCAGAUGCACCUCGACGCCGUCUCCGCCAGGCAGGCCGCGCGGAGGCUGCAGCGCUUCUCGCCGGAGACGGAGUCCCAGUCCCACCGUGGGCAGCGGCCGUCCAGGAAGGUGUCCAUCGCCAGCUAGCCGCGGAAAGUUUUGUUUGGAUCUACAAUAUCUGUAUUCUGAAGAAAACAACAUCUGUAUUCUGAAGAACCAUCGUUGUUGUUUUGGAAGGCAGUGCAGGGCACGGCAGCAUCAGGUGGCAGGUGCCUGCAGCUUCCCGUAUGUGUCCAUGGCAAGCUAAUUAAGCUGGCCGGGUGCCUGAAGAUUCUUGGUUGAUCUGUGCUGUGCCGUUGAUUUGAUUUUGUUGGAAAGAAAAUAGAAAAGGCCAUGGAUCUGAAGGAGGCAAUCAAACAUGAUUCACAAUUUGUUCAACUUCAGUGUGGGCCACCCGUGUGCGCCGUCUCUUAUUUCGUUUCCCUGAAUGAUUGGAUCCUGUUUGGUUUUUGGUACGACAUGCUAGGGACACUCUGCAACAGCACUGCACUGUUAAAAUGGAAUUGAUACAAAACUAGGAUAUAAAUUAUCAUGUUUCCUGAAUGAGCCCUGAAUUUUAUGAUUUCGCUCUAAAUCUUUUGAGAUUUUUUAUUAUGUGUAAGCGUGAUGACCAGUUUGAUGCUUCUGCCUUUGGCUUCCCACAUGGGUGAUUGAGGAAUCUUACGAUAUUACUGACCAUUCCCAACAAAUUGUACCAUUGUGAUGUUUCUUUUUCUAUCGAGAGAGAUGCCAACUUACCCCAAUAAGGUGCAAUAGUUGCUCAAAGUAUCAAAGGAGCACACGACGACCCAUCUUCAGUGACUCCCACACUAGGCACGUGCCCCCUCUUCUUCCUCUGUCGUUCCACCUCAGUCGUUCCCACGAUGGGAGGGGGCUGCGACUUCAAGGCUUUGGUGGGGUUAGGAAUAAAUUUAAGUUUGUCUUUGAUCGGCAGUGGCGAUACGAUAGUGUCGUUCUCGACGUGGAAUAACGUCUCCCUCCUCGUCCUCGUCGGAAUGUGUGGUGGAUUAUGAGUCCCUAGCUCUGGUUCUUCGAGUCUCGCCUUUUUUCUGCAGAUUUGUUUGUAUCACUGACGCUAUCGCGCGGAGUGAAGAAUGUCACCGUAUCUGAGCCUCCCCCCUCGCGUCGUCCUCCCCAGGGCGACCCGAGGGCUCCUAGGGUUUCCCUAGGCGCCGCCCCCCCACCCCCCCUGCCGUCACCCGAGGGAGUCGUCGGGCGUCGCCUGGGCGACUGCCGAUGACGGUGGCGGCGGGGCUUCGUCGCUUCGCCCGUUGUGGCAUUGGACCUUGGAAACCUGGGCGGCGGCCCGGUCGGUGAGGCGGUGCUGUCCUUUCGCUGGCGGCGCGCGCGGGAGGUGAUGGCCGGCCCCCUUGGCUGCUCGGGCAGCGAGGUCCCGGCGGGUAGUGGUCGCGACGCGGCGAGGUUCCUCCUCCUCUGCUCCAGAUCAAAAGGUCAGGUUUUUCCCCCUCUCUGCUCUCCUCGCUGGAUUCGCCUGAUUCCGAGCCUCUGGUCGCCGGAUCUGGUGCCGGUAGGGUGAUCCCCGAGCAGGUAGUGCUGGACGAGCCCGGGGGAAACCCUUGUUGCUAUUUCCAACGCGGCGGCGGCAGCGCCCUUUUGCGUCGUUCUACUCGUUGGAGUCGUAGCCGUGGGCUCUCCUCCACACCCCAGCCAUGCCUCCCGGGCGAAAGCUCAAAUCCCGGCCUGGGAUGGGCGGCGGCGACGCUUGGUGCGUCGUGCCCUCCUUGGAGGCGCCGUCUGGGGAGGUUUGGUGCUUUGGGGGCGUGUAGCAGUUGUAGGUGGGUGCCUGGCGUCUAUGGAUUCCGUGGCGUCCCUUCUGUGCAGGUCUCAGAUCCAGCCACAAGUGCUCUGCGGUGGUGUUUGCGAUGUCCUGGCGGGUCGGCGCCCUCGAGUAUGGGCGGAAUGGGAUCGGGUUCCCUUCUCGGCAGCAGCAACGCCGCAGGUGCCGAUUCGGCUGGUUCUUGAGUUCCUUGUUCCUAAUCUUUGCCAUGUGGCUCGAUAGCUUAUUCCUUUCGGCGACUCUCCCGGCGGCUUACCCUCUUCGAUCGGUCUCCUUCGGCGCCUGCGUUGCGGCUUGCGUGUGUGUGCUCCGGCAUGAUGUGGUUGGCCCCAUUGCUGGCCCGGUCUUGAGACCAACCUAUGCUCUAGCUCUCGGGUGAGCGUCUCUACACUUUGACGGUGCGGCGCCUUCGAGCCUAGGCGAGGGAAAGGGAUCCCCUUCGGUGUUAGAGAAGGCAUGUGUUGUGUCAUCUCCAGUUUCGGUUUCAGCCAUGUGCCCGGCCGAUUUUGGCGGCUCCAGAUCCUCGUGGCUUCUUCAUAGUCGUUUCAGGGCCUUUGUGUAGAGGGCUUAACCUCAAUUAGUUGUUCUUUUCCGUUCGCUGGUUGUAGGUGUAGCUUAGUACGCUGUUCUUCUUUCUCCCUUGUAUCCUUUAGCCGUUGCUUUGUUCGUGGUCUGCUUUUGUACUCCUGGCCGGUUUAUGGCUUUGUUAAUUCAAAGUCGGGCUCCUUUGGAGCCUUUGUUCCAAAAAAAAAGAAUGUCACCGUGUAUUUUGGCCCUCCGUCUCUAGUUCCAACUGAUGAUAGUUCGCCAGCCUCGCCCGGGUCGAGGCGUGCAACUCCCUCUUGCCGGAUCAAGGGCGCUCUAUAGUCCAUGUUUGAUGUUUUCUUUCCCAGGGCGGCGAUUUGCCUUUGCGAAUUGUGGCCAAUGGCAUUUUCUAGUCUACAUUGAUGAUUCCCGAUCGUUGCUUCUAUAGGCUCCUUGAUUUCAAAAGUUUGCCCCGCUCAGACGGGGGCCUAGAUUUGGCAACAAGCUUUGCCCAUGGCGUGUCGCUGAUGUAUGCGAGAGGAAAAAGACUUCGGCUACUAAAGUAACGGGACGUCUUAGUGCCGAUAAUUAGGGUUCCAACACUAUAACAAACAAACACAAGGAACAUGUUGGACAAGCACAGAGGCACCAAUAACUUGAAUGUGUUUUUCAAUUUCUUUAAAGGUGUUUUUGUAAAGUCGUGUGCUACUUAAUAUAAGGCCUUUGGCCUUUUCACAUUCUUUAUAUUAUAAAAUUAAGGAUGAUGCUGAUCUUCAUGCAUAGUCUACACGGUAAGCACGGUACAAUCUUAACUUCGUUGCAUCGCUAGAGGGUGUGACGAUUUGUCUUUCUUAUGUAUCGACAGUGCGCAGAACCACUUCCCAUUGGCUUUGGCUUCACCGUUUAACGAUUAUUGCGCUCUUUUUUAGUGUGUUUGUGUUGUCAGUUGGCGCCCUAGAUAUAGUUUGGCGAGGUAGUGUGGGACAUUGGUGGUUUUAGCUCGAGUUUCAUGAAAUUAAUAUAAGGUUUAGUAUUCCAUCUAAAGUAGAUCAUCUUUCUUCUUUUAAUAAAAACCGCAGUUGCCUCAUGACAAGUUUGGUAAAAGGAUGAUUGAGCGGAUGGAAUCCAAUCCUUACUUACUCAUAGUUGAAUUAGUGCACUUUCGAGCCGGAGUGGGAGGGCAUGAUGAAGCCUUUUAUGCUAAACCAUACAUCACUCUCUUUCCACUGAUGACUUCCCCAACUGAAAACCAUCAUGCUUUUUCGUUGUCACUGUAAUGUCAACUCAGCUGAUGAGGAAGGCAAAGUUUGGAAUUAAACAGCACCUAGUCGAGCCAAGUUCACCAUGUCCGAAAAGUAAUGUACAGCCAACAUGGUGCACAACACCUAUAUUCCCCUUUACACAUCUACAUAAAUGGAGGUCUAGCCUCAUUGGUGUCCCUUCAUACUACUAAAUAUAAAUCUUGUAAACUUUGUUGCGAGUGGCGGUGCUACGCACAAAGCUGUGACGCAUUGCAGAAGAAUCUUGAUUCUUUUUUUGUUUUUGGAGAUUAAUUGCUGCAUGUUUGAAUCACGGUGGAGAAUUGACAUCGCAACAAGUGAGUCCUCGAACCGUCAUAACAAUGACUCAACUUUACGGCAACAAAAUGAAAUUUGCCCCUUCAUGUUUAGGCUUGAAUUUGACUGUGCUCAUGCUCUAAAGGAAAGCAUUCUUACCCUGUCCUUCCUGGUUUCAUAUUACUCGCAAGUUAACAACAACUAUAUACAUAUGCUAAAAACAAAUUCGUACGUCGCCAGCAAUCACUGGAGAGGGUGAUCGAAGCAAGGUGUUCAAUGCGUGAGCCGAGCAAGCUAGACGCCAGAUCGGAGAAAAAUAUCACACAUUCACACGUCAGACUGGCUGGCCGUACGCUAUUUUUUCUGUACUUCUCUGUCCCCACUCAUCGCUGAGUAGAGCAAGGACCGGCGCACACAUUAUUUGGAACGUGGCUAAAUAAAGUUGAGAUCGAAAUAACGAAACAUAUCCGCGUAGGAGUAUGUGCUUUAUUAUGGGCUAUAUGAAACUGCAGGAACGAUUUAAUUUUUAACAGAAUAACACAUAUUCAUUUCUUACAUGUUAUUUUUCGGGCCAGUACAUUGAUCCAUAUGUGAUCGCUACUCACUUUGACGGAUUUCAGGGAGCAUAUGGUUACUCGGUCUAUCCGUUAAAAGACAGUACCGCGGGCUAUCUUCAACCGGUUUGGAUGACGGUCAUGUAAUAGGAUAUGUGUUUAGUUUUCUAUCUCUUUUUAUUCCGCCGGUUGUGGCUAUCCCGUCCUCAUAUUUUUAGCUCUUUAUGAGCCCUUUUACUUUUUGAGAUUUAAAGACUUUGUUAAACUGUUUGUUUAUUAAUAAAAUGACCGCAUACAUUAUUAUAAUGUAGAGACCGGGAAUAACCUUCUUUUCGAAAAAAAAAGCCUGGCGCACUCGUUGGUGUCGACAUACUAGUAGUACGAGCAAUGAUGUGCCCCGUCACCACCAAGUAGCCCGUGACUCACUGAGUACUAUGCAGCAAGAGAUAUCGUGCACGUCCUCUCUUUUUCUUCGGAAGCCUCCAAUACGUUGCUCGUACUCGAUCAGCGGUCGACCGCGAAUAAUUCCAAGAGAUCGCCGUGCGUGCGUGCCCGCAAUUUUCACUCUUCUCCUGGAGGAACAGAAAGAUGUCGUCGACCUUGUCCCGAUGCUCCGAUGAUUACGUCCGAUGCGUCAGUGUUACUACUCGAGGAAGCUGUAAAAAGAAAUUGCACGCAGAUCUUGAGAAAAGCUCACCGGCAAGAAAGACCGGUGGACUACGAGGUGAGUGCCAAUGAAAUCUGGAGUUGAUCCCUUCAACGCUCAACGGCAACCGCAACUGCAACUGGCUGGCAGCAUCUCUUGUUUUUUAUCUACCAGACUACCAGCAUCCUCCAGCCUGAAGUUUUUAAGACUGCAAAUGGCUGCACGCAUUGCUUCCAGCGGCCGCAAGCUGGUGCACGCGCUUGAGUGGGGCACGGGCCGAGAGCCUGGACAAGAUCUGCAAGUGUGUGCGCGAGUCCACUCUUUACAAGUCGCUGCUGUGCGUAUAUGGCUGCAUGCACACUCGCACGGAUCGGCACCACAUCUAAGGGUGUGUUUGCUAGGAUGCAUGAAGGAUGCAUGAGGGCAAAAGUUCUUAAUCCGACCCAUUUUUGCUUGUUUGGUAGGGUAUAUGGGCUCACCUGAGCUAUGCUCAUCUGAUGCAUAAAAGUGGCCUCAGCCAUGUUGAUCUCAUGCACCCCACACAGGGUGCAUGGAGGCAGCUAUGCUGACCCUGACACUCGUUCCCACCGACCAGACCACGUCCAAAUAUGUUUAUUUUUUCAAAAAGAAUCAGAAUUUCAAAAUUUGUUUAAAUUUUCGAAAAACUUUAGAAUUUCAGAAAAAUGAAAAAAAAUUGGAUUUCAAAAUUUUUUAAAUUAAAAAAACAUAAUUUGAAAAUUUGUUUGAAUUUUCAAUAAAUAUUUGAAAUUAAUUUUUUCUAAAAAAAUCAUAAAUGUUCGGAAUUUCAAAAGGAAAUCAAAAUUUGUUUGAAUUUUGAAAAAAUAGAAUUUUAUUUUUUUUUCAAAAUUUAAAAAUUUGUUUAAAUUUUCAAAAAAGCUCGUAAUUUCAGAUAUGGUCAAAUAAAAACAGAAUUUCGAAAUUUAUUUUAAUUUUACAAAAAAGUUUAGAAUAUCAAAUUUUAUUUAAAUUUUCAAAAUAUGUUUAAAUUUGUGUUGACAUAUUUUCGAUUUUGUUCAUCAUUCAAAAAAAAUAUUCAGAAUUCGAAAUUGUUCAGUAUGUCUAAACACAUGCAGGCUGCCAAACAAAAUCUCAGUUCGGCAUGUCUCAGCGCAUACAUCACGGUCAAACAACAGCAACUACAUGGACUCAGCAUGUCUACACUCAGCAUGUAUGAGAUGAGAACAACUAGGCUAGGUUCAUACAUGCUACCAAACACACCCUAAGAUUGCCUCUCGUGUGGCUGUUAAAAAAAAGAUUGCCUCCCAUGUGAAAGCAUCUAUAGCUGGGCGGGCCGCCAGUCACUCACCAGUCACAUGAUUUUUCGAUUCAGAUGACCCCUUAAACGGGCCGCAAACGCCCGGAUUGACCAGUACCCCUCAUAUCUAGUCUAAAUAUAAGGCAGAUAUACGGGCGCCCGCGCACAUUCGGUCGCGUCCGUCAUGUAGGACAGACGAAGGGGUCUCAUGUGGACUUGCUCGGAAACCCGAUGGUCCGAUGGACGCCUCCUUCGUCGUCGUGUGGCGCCGCUCCGGCUCACCGCCUGAGACCGAGUCCGCCUAUUUAACCCGACUGGCGUCCCGCAACCGAAGCACAUCCACCCCCCCCUCUCAGCGCUGCUAGUCUGAACCCAUCCACCUCCUCCCUCUCCCGCUCCGGUGCUCUGUCCAUGCUCCGGCGCUCCACCAUGGUCAGGAGCAAGAUCACCUACUACGCAAUGCUCACGCCAGAGCGUCGGUACGAGAUCCAGGAGGAGAUCCAAGCGAGACAAGCUGCACGCGCCACCGUCAUCCCUACCGGGCUGCCUCCGGACUCGCUGGAGCCGAAUGAGGAGGAGGAGCAGCCGGGGGAAGAGGAGGAAGAGGAGCUGGCUCAGAUGGAGGUGGAGGAGGCGGAGCAGCUGGAGCAGGAGUUACCAGGCUUCAACAUGGAGCAGGUGGAGGCGGAGUUCGCCGUCGCCUAGUCAGGGGAGAUGGCGGAGCAGCAGGCCAUCCUGGAGUCCAUCCAAGAUGACGCCUAUGUGGAGGCCAACCGGGUGUUCCUCCGGCAGGAGCAAAUGGCGUCCGACGCGCUCUUCGCCAAACUCAACGCAGAGAUAGAGGCGGAGGAGGCUGGAGCGGAGCAGUCGGAGGCACGGGAGGAGCCGGAGCUGCAGCUGCCGCCCAUACUGCUGGUGCCGGACACAGAGAUCGUCAAUAUCUCCGACAAUGAGUAGUUAGGUGAUCGAUGUAGUAUGUAGGUUUAGUUCGUUUGCAUGUCCUUGUAUGGAUUUAAGAAUUUGUUAUGAGAUGUCCGGGUGCAACUACUAAAAUUUGAGACAUGUCUGGUCAUUGCCCGCAAGCGCCUAGGUGCGUUCGGAGGCGUUUGAGAGUCAUAUUUGACAUAUCCGGUUGUAGAUGCUCUUAUGACACUAACUUAUAAGGUGACCUCUAGUUUUUUACGUUUUGUUAUUCUUUUCUUUCCUUUUCUUCGUCUCGUGUUUGAUGGGCAUUUCUGUCUAUUAUUAGCCAUGUGGGGCACCUGUCUCGUGUAUUGGCAAAAAGCCUGGAGCGCUGAUUAUCAGCAUUACGUGUAUACACUAGUUUAAGCAAAGCUGCCUAAUGUUAUUAGGGCAUCUCCACCCGGACCCGCAAACCUCUCCCAACAGUUUGGAUCGGAAAAACCAUCCAACGCCGACCUAUAUCUGUCCGCCAAGCGGUCCGGACACGAUUUCUCCCGGAAAUCGGAGACAAAAAUGAGGGAGGUUUGCGGGAAUCCGGACCGCUCCCAAGCCCGCUUCUGACCCCCGGAAAAAGCCCUCCCCCUUCCCGUGCGCGCUCUCGCUCGUCGUCACCUGCCCGCAUUCAUGCCGAUGAGCUGUACCACGGUGAAGUUGUUGGCCUCGGCCUGUCUCAUAUUCACGUGGUAGCCCGUCCACCUCAUCCUGCCGUAGACGUCGGCGCUGUUGCUCGUGUUCAUGUACUCCUUGAAGCAGAGCGUGCUGAUCGUGGUUUGGUUUUUGUCCCACGCGAGCCGCCCCUCGGGCUGCACCACGGCGGCGAUGUAGGACUCCAUCUACAUGAACACCACCUACGAGUACGUCUUCCAUGGCCGGCCCAGGAAAGUAUGCGUGGCGGUGGCCUUGUCGGUCUGGUUGGCCUGCGCGCGUAGGAGGUCGUCCUGCACGAAGACGUUGCAAAACUGAAAGGAGAAGCCAUUGUUGAAGGAGCCGUUGACACAUCUCUGGGCCCUGACGGUGUUCUUCUGGCCCGAGAGCGGGUCGAGGACCAGGAGGAGGCAGAUCUGGAAAACGGCCAUGGCAUCUUCGAAGAUGAAGCGGGCGGUGCCGGUGACGCGACAGUCGUAAUAGAACUGGCGGAGCGUGUGCUGGUACAACGUGUCAUGGUGGCCCUCGAAGGCGCAGUGGUAGAAGACGGAGAGGUCCGAGUCGCUCCGUGGCGCCACCGCCUGGUCUCUCUCCGGCCCUGCCGUGUUCUCGAACGUCAAGUCUCGCGUGAUGAACCCCGGACCAACCACCGCUGCAAUGCAUGCAUACGUCAGGCCGGUCAGGUGUUUAAUCAUACCUAUGAAUAUGAAAUGACUGGGUUACAAUGUUGACAGGGCCGGCCCUAGCAUUAUGGAGGCCCUAGUGCGAUUGAGGUACAAAUAGAUCUAGAAAAGGGGGGGGGGCAUAUGCCCCCUGUCCAUGUUGAUUUUUUGUUAUUGAAAUCAUCUAUUUUGUACUCCAGGGUUUUGUUUUAAGGUCAUAAGUUUCACCGGACGAAAUAUCGUCUGGUUUUAUGUACAAAUUAUUCCAGUUUCAAUGAAACCGGCCGCGCUUAUAUGAAAAUUCAUCUGGUUUGAUCAAUUUCGUCCAAUUGGUUCAAGUAGUUGUCAAAAUGUAUGCGACUAAGGUUGGAUGGCGGUCUCCUGCAUCUAUAUCCGCGGACGGAUGCAGGAGAAAAUUUACGGAUUGCCGUUGGAGAUGCCCUUAGGUGCUCCGUGCCUAUAGUUUAAGUAUUUUGCACUAGGACGUUGCAACCAUCGUAUCAGAAAAAUUUGUAGCUAACCUUGUUGUUUUUGGAAGUGUCAUACAGUCCAACAAGGAAACAAGAUGCUAGAGUGAAGGUAAAUCUUCUGAACUGAAAUCAUAUUGUCAUGUUCAAGACAUAUUCCUGAACUACUCCCUCCGUUCUUAAAUAUUUAUAUUUCUAGAGAUUUCAACAAGUAACUACAGACGGAACAAAAUGAAUGAAUCUACUCUAAAAAAUAUGUCUAUAUACAAUACAUAUGUGGUAGUCCAUUUGACAUCUCUAACGAGACAAAUAUUUAGAAACGGGAGGAGUAUAAUAAACGUUUGUGUGUCUGUAUACUUUUUAUAUACCCUGACAACGCACUGGCAUUUAGCCAGUCUACAUAAAUGGAUGUCUAGCCUCAUUGGUGUCCCUUCAUACUAUUGAAUUUAAAUCUUGUAAACUUUGUUGCGAGUGGCGGUGCUACGCACAAAGCUGUGACGUGUUGCAGAAGAAUCUUGAUUCCUUUUAAAUUUUGGCGAUUAAUUGUCGCAUGUUUGAAUCACGGUGGAGAAUUGACAUCGCAACAAGCGAGUCCUGGCACCGUCAGUAAGAACAACUCAACUUUUUGCUAACAAAUUGAAAUUUACUGUUCCAUGUUUGUGCUUGAAUUUGAUUGUGCUCAUGCUCUAAAGGAAAGCAUUCUGACCCUGUCCUUCAUGUUUUCAUAUUACUCACGAGUUAACAACAACUAUACCUUUGGUAAAAGCAAGUUCGUACGUCACUACCAAUCACUUGUGGAAAGCUAAUCGAAGCAAGUCUUGCACUGCGUGGGUCGAGCAAGCUGAGGGUCUGUUUGAUUUCAAAUAAGUCAUCAACUUAUAAGUCAAAAAAUAAAAAAGUGAUUUAUUUUGCCAAACAGACCGAACUUAUAAAUUACCCCAACUUAUAAGUCAUAAGUUGCUCCACCCCAACUUAAAACUUAUAAGUCACCCCUUUUUGCGUGGGUCACAUCAUCUUUAUAUAAAAAAACAAAAUGAAAAGGUGUGGUCGGGUGACUUAUAAGUCAGGUGACAACCAAACAGGCAUGACUUAUAAAUCACUGGUUUUAAAUCACCUGACUUAUUGGAACCAAACAGACCCUGAACGGCCGAGGGAAGAAAAAUAUCACAAAUUCACACGUCAGAUUGGCUGAGCGCGUGCGUCCGUAUGUUCUUUUUCUUUUGUGUACGUCUCUCUCGCCACCCAUCGCUGAGUCAGAGCCACCAGGAGAUGAUGCACCAUGGCUGCUUGGCGCACUCGUUGGUGUCGGCAUACGACGAGCAAUGAUGUGCCGCGUCACCACUCACCAUCAAGUAGCCCGUGCGUGACUCACCGAGUACGCAGCAAGAGAUAUCGUGCACGUCCUCUCUUUUCUUCGGAAGCCUCCAAUACGUUGCUCGUACUCCACACUCCGCAGCCGAGGUUGGCUGUGUCCGGCUCUCCAUCAGCAGUCGACCGCGUAUACUUCCAAGAGAUCGCCGUGCGUGCCAGUGAUUUGUACUCCAAUAUUUUCACUCUUCUCCCGGAGAAAGAGAAAGAUGUCGACCGUCUCCCGAUGUUCGCGUACUCCGAUGAUUACUACUCGAGGAAGGAAGCUGUAAAAACAAACUGCGCGCAGAUCUCGAGAAAAGCUGCACCCCGGGACGAAGCCUGCCUGCCUGCCUCGCCGGCAGAAAACAACGGUGGACUGCGAGGUGAGUGCCAACGGAAUCCUUGAGUUGAUCCUUUCAACGCUCAACCGCAACUGCAACUGGCUGGCAGCAUCCUCCAGCCUGAAGUUUUUAAGACUGCAAAUGGCUGCACGCAUCGCUUGCAGCUGCCGCAAGCUGGUGCACGCGCUUCAGCGGCGCACGGGCAUGAGCGUAUACAGUAUCUGCAAGUGUGUGCGCCAGUCCACUCUCCACAAGUUGCUGCUGUGGCGUGCAUGCACGCUCACACGCCUCCCUCAACAUUCCCUCCCGUAUGAUGAGUUGAUGACACUAACUUAAAGAGGGGACCUUGAGAUUUUGUUUUUUUCUUAUUUUCUUUUCUUCAUCUCCUGUCUGAUAGUAUAAACAAAAUAACACACAGUACACUGCACGAUAGGCAUUUAUGUCUAUUAUUGGCGCGGGCUAACCAUGUGGGGCACCUGUCUCGUAUGUUGGCAAAAAGCCUGGCGCGCUAAUUAUCAGCACUAAGCGUAUACACUACCUAAUCUUCAUCUUAUUACUCACACAAGUACAGCCGGAAUAUAUUGGUGCCCAAGUUUCCGACUAGAUGCACGACGGAGUCUACUGCAAUGCUUAUAGACGCGAAUACUAAAAGGCGGGGCAUGUAUCAUGUUUUGGUAUGAUAAGGUGCCAGUCUAGUAGAAGCUGACAGUUCACAAAUCGGCUAUAGAAUGACAAGCUGUCACAUUACAAAACACUCCUAGAAUUUACUAACUUUUCUAUAGCUUGCUAAUUGUAGCAUUUUUGAGAGUUUUCAAGUACAGCUACAUUUCCACUCUUCAGAAAAUAGCACAAUUUUUAUGUUUUGCAGGAAGAAAAUAGCACAACUUGCAUCAACAGUGACCUUCAAGAGCGAUGUCUCCUGGUCGACCUCGCCCGGAAAUAGCACGAUGAUUGCCCGUCGUUUUCCUCCCGGGACGGCCGUCCGACGCGCGAUAAGAUAUUUGCCCGACGCACCAUAUAUACCUGAGCCUCCCACUCUUUUCUCCACCCAACUCGCUCGCUCCCCUCAAUUCUUCCCUCUCCCGCAGCACCAAAAGAAGCAUUUUUGCUCGAAAGCCACCUGCACACACGUACCAUGGCGGCAUCAGCGGCCUGCUCCUUCUUCUUCGACGCCGAGCAGCUCGGCGAGCCCGGCAUGCCGGCGAUGGACGCGUGUGCGCUCUGCGCCAAGCCGCUGGCGCGCGACAGCGACGUCUUCAUGUACAGAGGGGACACACCCUACUGUAGCGAGGAGUGCCGCCACGAGGAGAUGCACCUCGACGCCGUCUGCGCCAGGCAGGCCGCCCG
rnacentral:lncRNA from 1 species